rnacentral:rRNA from 1 species
AUACGGAGGAUCCGAGCGUUAUCCGGAUUUAUUGGGUUUAAAGGGUGCGCAGGCGGCCAUUUAAGUCAGCGGUUAAAUCGUGGGGCUCAACCCCAUUCUGCCGUUGAUACUGGGUGGCUUGAUUGCGGUCGAGGUUGGCGGAAUUCGUUGUGUAGCGGUGAAAUGCAUAGAUAUGACGAAGAACACCGAUUGCGUAGGCAGCUGACCAGACCGCAAAUGACGCUCAUGCACGUAAGUGCGGGGAUCGAACAGGAUUAGAUACCCUGGUAGUCCGCACAGUAAACGAUGAAUACUUGUUUUCGGCGAUAUAAUGUCGGAGGCAAGGCGAAAGCGAUAAGUAUUCCACCUGGGGAGUACGCCGGCAACGGUGAAACUCAAAGGAAUUGACGGGG